ensembl:snRNA U6 U6 spliceosomal RNA
AUGUCUUCAAGGUUCAGCCAAGUAUAGGAAAAAAAAAAGACACAGAGAAGAUUAUCAUGGCCCCACACACAAGGAUGACAUGCAAAUUUGUGAAGCAUUCCUUUAUUUA